ACAAUAUAUAUUAUUUAUGGUUUGCAUUAGCAAUUAAAAGGGAAGUUAGGUGAAAGUCCUACACGGUCCCGCCACUGUAAAGAGGACGAAAGCAAAAAUACCACUAUUAAUGUAAAUGGGAAGGGUUGCAAGUAGGAAGAUUCUGAGUCAGGAGACCUGCCAAAACAAUGUAUAAAUU
rnacentral:ncRNA from 1 species